GGUCAUGAGCGCCAGCGUGUAGCCCCGGCUUGCUGGCCGGCAACCCUCCAACCGCGGUGGGGUGCCCCGGGUGAUGACCGGGUUGUCCGCAGGACGGAUAGCAAGCGCGGGUC
rnacentral:ncRNA from 2 species